UUGUUGAAAAAUAAUAAUUCUCUAAAGACUUAUAAUAUAAUAUUAAUUAUUUAUUCUUUCUUAAACUUAUCAUGAUGCUAUACCUUGGUAAGUCUUGUAGUUGUACUGCUAGGGCGGCCGCGCGGUCGGGCGCAAUAGCGGCAGCAGCGACAUCCACAACGUGACGGAGCUGUCCGUGCCCCACGCCGUGGGCGCCGCGUUCCACAAGGCGCUCCGCGCCAUCGCCGCGCGCGAGGGGUUCCGCGGCAAGGCCAUCGUCCGGACGCUGACGCCCGCGCACAUCGAGAACGGGGAGUCGAACGCCGGCGGCGACUGCGUCUGCACGCGCCCGUUCCGGCGCGGCGAGCGCGCCUGGGCGCCAUCGAGGCCGAGUUCCGCGCCGCGCAGGUUGAUGCGGUCAGGGAGACAGAGGCGGCGGCGCAGCGGAACGGCGAGGAGCUGCGGCUGCUGGACAUCACGGAGGCAAUGGCCCUACGGCCGGACGAGCACCCGAGCCGGUACGGCCACCUGCCGGGCGGGAGCGUGGAGGGGAGCUUCGUGGUGGAUUGCCUGCACUGGUGCUUGCCGGGGCCGAUCAACCUGUGGAGCGAGCUGCUGUUCGACAUGCUAGCUGCUCGUCAUUAGCUGCUGUUCCACGUGCUAGCUGCCCCUGGGUCGGCUUCAACAAUCCAUUCCUUUUGCGUCGCCUUCCACGGUUCCACCAACGAAGCAACAGAGGAGCCGCCAUUAAAACAAAUCUGUUGUAAUCCGUGGCCGCAGGAGGAGCUGCUUCCCACCAAAUUGAGUCCGACGCCAUUGAGAAAGCUGUGGCCGUUGCCAGGUGCCAAGCAGCUAUGAGGAGAUUGACUGAUUGAGACCGUAUUAGGUUGUACAUACGUGCCUGUGCCUGCCGCGCCCCCGACGCGCCCACGACGACAGCAAUCUUGUGCCGCCUUGCCAACCUCAACAAACCCUAACUGAGUCUAUUACUAGGAACUUAGGAUUGUAGUCUUCGUUUAUUUGGCUUUGGUAUCUCGCUAGCGGGCACUUCCCUUGUGUGCAUUCCAGCCUCCUGUACAGAUACUUGCAUGAUAAAUGAAUCAGAAGUACUUCAGUUAUCUUGCA